CGGAGAGCCACACGCACUGUCCUUCCAUGCAGUGAAACACUUUUUUGUUUUCAGAAAUACUCAGUGCCUGCUGGAGCCCUGCAUUGCCUAUGGCAGUUCUCACGGAAGUUCAUUAGGGGCUUCUCUACCUCGCUGUGAAGCUGUUGAGGAGAACAAGGGGG